AACGCUGGCGGCGUGCCUAACACAUGCAAGUCGAGCGAGAAUUCAUCAACGGAUUCUUUCGGGAUGAAGAUGAUGAGGAAAGCGGCGGACGGGUGAGUAACGCGUGAGUAACCUGCCCAUAAGAGGGGGAUAAUCCAUGGAAACGUGGACUAAUACCGCAUAUUGAGUAUUUACCGCAUGAUAAAUACUUGAAAGAUUUAUCGCUUAUGGAUGGACUCGCGUCAGAUUAGAUAGUUGGUGAGGUAACGGCUCACCAAGUCAACGAUCUGUAGCCGAACUGAGAGGUUGAUCGGCCACAUUGGGACUGAGACACGGCCCAGACUCCUACGGGAGGCAGCAGUGGGGAAUAUUGCGCAAUGGGGGAAACCCUGACGCAGCAACGCCGCGUGAAGGAAGAAGGCCUUCGGGUUGUAAACUUCUGUCUUUAGGGAAGAAGAAAGUGACGGUACCUAAGGAGGAAGCCACGGCUAACUACGUG
rnacentral:rRNA from 1 species